UACGUAGGGCGCAAGCGUUGUCCGGAAUUAUUGGGCGUAAAGAGCUCGUAGGUGGCGUGUCGCGUCUGCCGUGAAAGCCCAUGGCUUAACUGUGGGUCUGCGGUGGAUACGGGCAGGCUGGAGGCUGGUAGGGGCAAGCGGAAUUCCUGGUGUAGCGGUGAAAUGCGCAGAUAUCAGGAGGAACACCGGUGGCGAAGGCGGC
rnacentral:rRNA from 1 species